UUAAAAGAWHUAAGGGUGUAUGGGGGAUGCCUAGGCUCUUGAAGGCGAUGAAGGACGUGUUAAGCUGCGAUAAGCUACGGGGAUUUGCACAAAAGAAUUGAUCCGUAGAUUUCCGAAUGGGGCAACCCAAUGGUUUGAAGAACCAUUACCACGAAGUGGGGCAAACCCGGAGAACUGAAACAUCUAAGUACCCGGAGGAAGAGAAAACAAAAGUGAUUCCGUAAGUAGUGGCGAGCGAACGCGGACUAGCCCAAACCGUUGUUGUUACGGCAAUGACGGGGUUGUAGGACGUUUUUUUAGAAAGGAUUUUAAUUUGAAUGAGUUGGGAAGCUCAGCCGUAGAAGGUGAUAGCCCUGUAAAAGUAAGGAAUCUGGACGUAAGCGUAUCCUGAGUAGGGGGGAGCUGGUGAAACUCCCUUUGAAUCAGCCGGCACCAUCCGGUAAGGCUAAAUACUAACAAGAGACCGAUAGUGAACGAGUACUGUGAAGGAAAGGUGAAAAGUACCCCGAAUAGGGGGGUGAAAAGACCCUGAAACCAUACACUUACAAGCGGUCGGAGCAGCGCGAUGCUGUGACGGCGUGCCUUUUGCAUAAUGACCCUACGAGUUACUCUUCCUGGCAAGAUUAAGGAUUGCAGAUCUGGAGUCGGAGCGAAAGCGAGUCUGAAAAGGGCGUUUAGUCAGGGGGAGUAGACGCGAAACCUUGUGAUCUACCCAUGGCCAG
rnacentral:rRNA from 1 species